CAUUUUCUUCGUUAGGUGAGGCUUCUACAUAGACAGAUGCCACUGCCCGGAAAUGUCGAGAGACUCUAACGGGUUAACAGGUAUUACCGGAUUAAGGUUUUACCUAAUGUGGCUGGGACAUUCCCAAUGCCCUAGCUAUGUAUGUGCUAAAGCUUGUACGAGUGGGGAGGCCA
rnacentral:sRNA from 2 species